rnacentral:misc_RNA from 1 species
UACGAGUGCCCCAAGCGUUAUCCGGAAUUACUGGGCGUAAAGGGUGUGUAGGUGGUCUUGUUAGUCUCUUGUUAAAUUCUUCGGCUUAACCGAAGACUCGCGGGAGAAACGGCAAGACUCGAGGGUGCGAGAGGUGUACGGAACUCAUGGUGUAGGGGUGAAAUCCGUUGAUAUCAUGGGGAACACCAAAUGCGAAGGCAGUACACUGGCGCAUUCCUGACACUGAAACACGAAAGCGUGGGUAGCGAACGGG